CUGUAACGUGAUUUUAAUGAUCCAUUUGAAUUGAAUUUCUAAAUAAAAACCAUGUCUAAUUGACUGUGACUUUCAUCCUCAGUGAUCAGCAUUCACAUUCUCACUUGGAUUCUGGAAAUUACACCUUUACAGGAGCAGAAAUACAGCCUUGGAUGGAAGGGACCCUCACUUGGGUCUUGCCAUUGUCCUCCCUAUACUGCACAGGUUGGCAAGUCUCCUACUGAGUGCACGUCUAUUGUUC